GGGAUUCCUUAAGUAAUUGCGAAUGAACAAGGACAUGCUUAGCUUGACAAUUGGAGCCUCUGGCUUCGACUUGUAUUUUUGAAAUGUAUUACCAACAGAGGUGCAGGUGUCAGCCUAUUGAAAGAAAGCGUCAAUGAGGGUGAGAAUCCUGUUUGUCAUGUGCAAUCCUCUGUGCACGGUGUAUGUUUGCUGAGUCACACUCCUUGGCAUUGGAAUGCAAAGUGGGUGGUAAGUUUCAUGUAAAGGUAAAUAUAGGAUUGAGACUGAUAGCACACAAGUACCAUGAGGGAAAUAUGAAAAGGACUUUGAAAAGAGAAUUAAAUGAGUUUGUAUUUGCUGAACAGAAAAUAAACAGAUUUGAUGUUGCUUGGUGAGAUUGUGGUGCUUGCUUGACAAUAGGUUUUGAUUGUGGGUGCGAUGAUUCUUGCUUUGCUUGCCAGUUUCUAUUUGUACAUUUGAUUACCCUUGCACAUGAAUGGUAAUUUUCCUGCGGGGUUUGGAUUGCAUGUGUUUGUGAUGAUUUGUGUUUUGAUUCAUGUGUCUGGUGCUUUUGUAAUUGCUCAUUUCUUGAAGCUGGGCCUACCCUACUAGAGCUUACAAGCCCUGGCACACAAUUGCUGGCAAAAUGCUUCUGCUUGACCCGUCUUGAAACACGGACCAAGGAGUCUAACAGAUGUGCAAGCUUGAGGGUUGCAUACCUUUGUGCGCAAUGAAAGUGUUGGCUGGGAUAUUUGCACCAGCAGCCGACCAAUUAGCAGACAGAGGUUCGAGUUGGAGCAUAUCUAUUAGGACCCGAAAGAUGGUGAACUAUGCCUGAACAGAACGAAUUCAGAGGAAACUCUGAUGGAGGUUCGUAUCGAUACUGACGUGCAAAUCGUUCGUCAUAUUUGGGUAUAGGGGCGAAAGACUAAUCGAACCAUCUAGUAGCUGGUUCCCUCCGAAGUUUCCCUCAGGAUAGCUGGAGUUGCACAGUUUUAUCAGGUAAAGCGAAUGAUUAGAGGAAUUGGGGACACAUUUGUCCUUGACCUAUUCUCAAACUUUAAAUGGGUAAUCUGUAGUGGUUGCUUUAUGGAACUUCUGAAAUGAAUGGCAAUAUUGGGUGGGCCAUUUUUGGUAAGCAGAACUGGCGAUGAGGGAUGAACCUAAUGUGGGGUUAAGGUGCUUAAUUACUUGCUCAUUUGAUACCAGAAAGGGUGUUGGUUCAUUUUAACAGCAGGACGGUGGUCAUGGAAGUCGAAAUCCGCUAAGGAGUGUGUAACAACUCACCUGCCGAAUGGACUAGCCCCGAAAAUGGAUGGCGCUCAAGCGGGUGACUGAUACCCAACCACUGUUUCAAACAUAUCAGUGUGUAGGAGGGCAUGGUGGUUUGUGACACAGCC
rnacentral:rRNA from 1 species